GCUCCCGUAGUCUAAUGGAUAGAACAUUGGCCUCCGAAGCUGAAAAUGUGCGUUCGAUUCGCACCGGGAGCA
rnacentral:tRNA from 1 species